rnacentral:rRNA from 1 species
GUGAAAUUGUUGAAAGGGAAGCGCNUGCAACCAGCCCUGUCCGUAGGUGAUCAGCCGCUGUUCUCAGCGGUGCACUCGCUCUGCGAUCAGGCCAGCAUCGGUUUCGGCGGUCGGAUAAAGGCCCUGGGAAUGUAGCUCUCCUCCGGGGGAGUCUUAUAGCCCUCGGUGCAAUGCGGCCAGCCGGGACCGAGGACCGCGCUUCGGCUAGGAUGCUGGCGUAAUGGUUGUAAGCGACCCGUCUUGAAACACGGACCAAGGAGUCGACCAUCCCUGCGAGUGUUUGGGUAUCAAACCCAUGCGCGGAAUGAAAGUGAACGGAGGUGAGAACCCUUAAGGGCGCAUCAUCGACCGAUCCAGAUGUCUUCGGAUGGAUUUGAGUAUGAGCAUGGCUGGUCGGACCCGAAAGAUGGUGAACUAUACUUGAAUAGGGUGAAGCCAGAGGAAACUCUGGU